rnacentral:rRNA from 1 species
UACGGGGGGGGUAAGCGUUGUUCGGAAUUACUGGGCGUAAAGGGCUCGUAGGCGGCCAACUAAGUCAUACGUGAAAUCCCUCAGCUUAACUGGGGAACUGCGUGUGAUACUGGAUGGCUUGGAUUUGGGAGAGGGAUGCGGAAUUCCAGGUGUAGCGGUGAAAUGCGUAGAUAUCUGGAGGAACACCGGUGGCGAAGGCGGCAUCCUGGACCGGUAUUGGACGCUGACGGCGCGAA